GUACAGGUAUCAGACAAGUCAAGACAGGUACAGCUAUCAGACAAGUCAAGACAGGUACAGCUAUCAGACAAGUCAAGACAGGUACAGGUACCAGACAAGUCAAGACAGGUACAGCUAUCAGACAAGUCAAGACAGGUACAGGUAUCAGACAAGUCAAGACAGGUACAGGUAUCAGACAAGUCAAGAUUGACAGAUUGAUGCAUGGGCGAUGUUGAAUGCGUUCAUAAUAGCUGGCUGGGUGGAAUGCAGGGCAAGAGCAGCGGAAAUAAAUGCCUUAUUUGUUCUGGUGUAUGGACCCUGCUGUUGAGUCUAGUUCACGUGAACAGCAGGUUCUGUCCUGGUUCUUUUGGAUGGAUUCCCUCUCCUCUCUCUCUCUCUGGCAGCCAUAGGUAAAGGAUGAGGAGCAAGCUUCCAACAAAGGGCUCAUCUGCAUCCACAACAUCAAUUGUAUUACAAAGGAGAGGCAGGUUGCUUUGAACAGGGACUCUCUCAGAGCUUCGCACACAUGGUCCUUAUAUGUAGCCAGUGUCGAUGAUAAAC
ensembl:lncRNA